rnacentral:rRNA from 1 species
UACGGAGGAUCCAAGCGUUAUCCGGAUUCAUUGGGUUUAAAGGGUGCGUAGGCGGAAUGAUAAGUCAGUGGUGAAAGCCCAUCGCUCAACGGUGGAACGGCCAUUGAUACUGCCAGGCUUGAAUUUCCAGGAAGCAACUAGAAUAUGUAGUGUAGCGGUGAAAUGCUUAGAUAUUACAUGGAAUACCAAUUGCGAAGGCAGGUUGCUACUGGUGGAUUGACGCUGAUGGACGAAAGCGUGGGUAGCGAACAGG